rnacentral:rRNA from 1 species
GACGAACGCUGGCGGCGUGCUUAACACAUGCAAGUCGAACGGAAAGGCCUUUUCGGAGGUACUCGAGUGGCGAACGGGUGAGUAGCACGUGGGUGAUCUGCCCUGCACUCUGGGAUAAGCCUGGGAAACUGGGUCUAAUACCGGAUAGGACCGCACUUUAGUGUGUGUGGUGGAAAGUUUUUUCGGUGUAGGAUGAGCCCGCGGCCUAUCAGCUUGUUGGUGGGGUAAUGGCCUACCAAGGCGGCGACGGGUAGCCGGACUGAGAGGUUGGUCGGCCACAUUGGGACUGAGAUACGGCCCAGACUCCUACGGGAGGCAGCAGUGGGGAAUAUUGCACAAUGGGCGCAAGCCUGAUGCAGCGACGCCGCGUGGGGGAUGACGGCCUUCGGGUUGUAAACUCCUUUCGCCAGGGACGAAGCGUUUUGUGACGGUACCUGGAGAAGAAGCACCGGCUAACUACGUG